rnacentral:rRNA from 1 species
AUUGAACGCUGGCGGCAGGCCUAACACGUGCAAGUCGAACGGUAACAGGAAACAGCUUGCUGUUUCGCUGACGAGUGGCGGACGGGUGAGUAAUGUCUGGGAAACUGCCUGAUGGAGGGGGGUAACUACUGGAAACGGUAGCUAAUACCGCAUAACGUCGCAAGACCAAAGAGGGGGACCUUCGGGCCUCUUGCCCUCGGAUGUGCCCCGAUGGGAUUAGCUAGUAGGUGGGGUAACGGCUCACCUAGGCGACGAUCCCUAGCUGGUCUGAGAGGAUGACCAGCCACACUGGAACUGAGACACGGUCCAGACUCCUACGGGAGGCAGCAGUGGGGAAUAUUGCACAAUGGGCGCAAGCCUGAUGCAGCCAUGCCGCGUGUAUGAAGAAGGCCUUCGGGUUGUAAAGUACUUUCAGCGGGGAGGAAGGGAGUAAAGUUAAUACCUUUACUCAUUGACGUUACCCGCAGAAGAAGCACCGGCUAACUCCGUG